rnacentral:lncRNA from 1 species
UCGGCGUUCUUGAGCCACGGAUGCUCUGUUUCAUAGGAGGCGAAAAUUAAAUGCUCUUAGUUCAGUGCAUAACACCAUUGGUAAUGCAUCGGUAGACCUCCGGUUUCCCAAUAGUAUCAUGAAAUAAGCAAAUUUGUAGGAGUAGCAAACUUGUAGCAAGUUUGCUGUGAACUUGUAGCAAAUUUGUGAAUGCAUAUUGUGUUUGUUUGGUCUGUCCGCGAGUACUAGACCAAAUUAAGGUGGACAUUACUUACCAGAGAC